rnacentral:rRNA from 1 species
GACAGAGGAGCCAAGCGUUGUCCGGAUUGACUGGGCGUAAAGCGCACGCAGGCGGUCGUGCACGUGGGGUGUGAAAACUGGCGGCUUAACUGCCAGAGGCCACCUCAUACGGCGCGACUCGAGCCAUGCAGAGGUCCACGGAAUUGCCGGUGUAGUGGUGAAAUGCGUAGAGAUCGGGAAGAACACCAGUGGCGAAAGCGCUCUGCUGGACUGCAACUGACACUGAGGGACGAAAGCUAGGGGAGCGAAAGGG